rnacentral:rRNA from 1 species
UAAACCUCGGGGGGCAGCAGUGGGGGAUAUUGCACAAUGGGGGGAACCCUGAUGCAGCGACGCCGCGUGGGUGAAGAAGCGCCUCGGCGCGUAAAGCCCUGUCAGCAGGGAAGAAAAUGACGGUACCUGAAGAAGAAGCCCCGGCUAACUACGUGCCAGCAGCCGCGGUAAUACGUAGGGGGCAAGCGUUAUCCGGAUUUACUGGGUGUAAAGGGGGCGCAGACGGCCAUGGCAAGCCCGGUGUGAAAGGCAGGGGCAUAACCCCUGGACUGCACUGGGAACUGUCAGGCUGGAGUGCCGGAGGG